rnacentral:rRNA from 1 species
GGUUUUUCCUNCCUNCAAGCCACGGAGNNGACGCAGCGAACGGCUCAGUAACACGUGGCCAACCUGCCCUUGGGACGGAGAUAACCCCGGGAAACUGGGGACAACAACCGAUAGGUGAGAAGGCCUGGAACGGUUUCUCGCCCAAAAGACGCCGGGACCAUGCUUCCAGCGUCGCCCAAGGAUGGGGCUGCGACCGAUCAGGUAGUUGGUGAGGUAACGGCUCACCAAGCCUAUAACCGGUACGGGCCGUGAAAGCGGGAGCCCGGAGAUGGGUACUGAGACAAGGACCCAGGCCCUACGGGGCGCAGCAGCUACGAAAACUCUGAAAUGUGCGAAAGCGCGACAGGGCUAUCCCGAGUGCCGUCCGCUGAGGAUGGCUUUUUCUCUGGUGUAAUGAGCCGGGNGAAUAAGCGGGGGGGCAA